GACGAACGCUGGCGGCGUGCUUAACACAUGCAAGUCGAACGGAAAGGCCCUGCUUGUGUGGGGUGCUUGAGUGGCGAACGGGUGAGUAACACGUGAGUAACCUGCCCUAGUUUUUGGGAUAACUUAAGGAAACUGGGGCUAAUACCGUAUAGGAGCUCCUGUUGGAGGGUGGGGGGUGGAAAGUUGCGGCGGUUGGGGAUGGACUCGCGGCUUAUCAGUUUGUUGGUGGGGUAGUGGCUUACCAAGGCUUAGAAGGGUCGCCGGCCUGAGAGGGGGACCGGCCACAAUGGGACUGAGGUACGGCCCAGAGUCCUACGGGGGGCAGCAGGGGGGAAUAUUGCACAAUGGGCGGAAGCCUGUUGCAGAGACGUCGCGUGCGGAAUGACGGCCUUCGGGUUGUGAAACGCUUUCGCCUGUGACGAAGCGUGAGUGACGGUAAUGAGAGAAGAAGCACCGGCUAACUACGUG
rnacentral:rRNA from 1 species